rnacentral:rRNA from 1 species
AAGUCGUAACAAGGUUUCCGUAGGUGAACCUGCGGAAGGAUCAUUACCUAGAGUUGCGGGCUUUGCCUGCUAUCUCUUACCCAUGUCUUUUGAGUACUUACGUUUCCUCGGUGGGUUCGCCCGCCGAUUGGACAAUUUAAACCAUUUGCAGUUGCAAUCAGCGUCUGAAAAACUUAAUAGUUACAACUUUCAACAACGGAUCUCUUGGUUCUGGCAUCGAUGAAGAACGCAGCGAAAUGCGAUAAGUAGUGUGAAUUGCAGAAUUCAGUGAAUCAUCGAAUCUUUGAACGCACAUUGCGCCCUUUGGUAUUCCAAAGGGCAUGCCUGUUCGAGCGUCAUUUGUACCCUCAAGCUUUGCUUGGUGUUGGGCGUCUUGUCUCUAGCUUUGCUGGAGACUCGCCUUAAAGUAAUUGGCAGCCGGCCUACUGGUUUCGGAGCGCAGCACAAGUCGCACUCUCUAUCAGCAAAGGUCUAGCAUCCAUUAAGCCUUUUUUUCAACUUUUGACCUCGGAUCAGGUAGGGAUACCCGCUGAACUUAA